rnacentral:rRNA from 1 species
AUUGAACGCUGGCGGCAGGCCUAACACAUGCAAGUCGAGCGGAUGAAGGGAGCUUGCUCCUGGAUUCAGCGGCGGACGGGUGAGUAAUGCCUAGGAAUCUGCCUGGUAGUGGGGGAUAACGUCCGGAAACGGGCGCUAAUACCGCAUACGUCCUGAGGGAGAAAGUGGGGGAUCUUCGGACCUCACGCUAUCAGAUGAGCCUAGGUCGGAUUAGCUAGUUGGUGGGGUAAAGGCCUACCAAGGCGACGAUCCGUAACUGGUCUGAGAGGAUGAUCAGUCACACUGGAACUGAGACACGGUCCAGACUCCUACGGGAGGCAGCAGUGGGGAAUAUUGGACAAUGGGCGAAAGCCUGAUCCAGCCAUGCCGCGUGUGUGAAGAAGGUCUUCGGAUUGUAAAGCACUUUAAGUUGGGAGGAAGGGUAGUAAGUUAACACCUUGCUGUUUUGACGUUACCAACAGAAUAAGCACCGGCUAACUUCGUG